rnacentral:lncRNA from 1 species
UGGGACUUAAUUGGAGAUAUGACUGAGUGCUUUUGAGAGAGAUUUCAAGAGAUUCAUAGAGAGUCUAGAUUAAAAGGAAGGCACCUGGGAUCUGGGAAGGAUGCUAAUGUCUUCAAGGGGAAGCCAAACUUUCCUGCCCUGUGUAGACAGAAAGGUACACUCAGUACACACUGACACACAAGCAAGUACUCAGCUUUUCUCCACACAUGCACGCAUGCACAUACACACACUCUACCCUCACUGAAAAUAAACCCAGAGGAGAAUGCGUCUCCGUUCUCAGAGGCCUGGCACACCCUCUGCCUCGUUGUCCCUCACAGUUACAACACGGGGGAUGUAUUGUAUUGCUUCCUAGCUUGCAGGAAAGAACAUGGACAGCCUGGGGAGCGUGGGCAGCACGAUGGGUCACAUGUCCAGUCAAUAGCUAGACAAGUGCUGAAUGAAGCCAGGCCACCACCCCAGACCUCAGCACAGACAGGAACUGUGGACUGGAUACACCAGCACCCAAGGGUGCUGUAGCUUAAAAUGGCCUCCCAACCACUGUGGCUCAGGGCGGC